UGCCACAUAAAACCAUUUCUAAAAUGCAGAAAAACUUGCACCUUCAAAAUAAUCCUGUCAAAUCCCCAUCGCACCCUCAAAAAUCCCUCAUCACCUUCUGUGCCAAUCUGCCCUUCAGAAUCCUACAACUCUCCGGCUUCUUCCCCACAUCGAUAAAAUCCUCUUCAAAUUCUAUCUCCCCACUCCCCACCCCGUUCUACUUAUCACUUCCCGCCAUAUGGCUUAUCACAUUAAUCUGCAUAACCCUUUUUCCCUUAUUCCUUGUAUCACUCACUUACACCCAAGAGCGUGACGAAAUCCCAGAAUUUGUCAUGCAAGGCCGUAACACGUUCCUCAUGAUCAACGUUUUUUACGGGGUUGCUUCCAUCUUUUGUCCCAUAUUGUCUAGGCUGAUUUUAUUUUUGAGUCGCAAAAAAUUUGCCACGUUUUGGCAAUCUUUCUGCCUCUUGGUAGAGAAAUUCCAAACGGACAAUUUUGAUAGGUCGAUCCAGAUCAAGUGGAGUCGUAAUUGUUGGACGAAAUUUGUCUUACAUGGCACCCUACAUUGGAUAAAUUCCAUUCUCCAGUCCAUACUUUAUAUGAAACAGGGUGUCUUAUCCAAGUUUGACGACGGAGACAUCCUGAAAUUUUGGAAUGUCUGGAUUUUUUCGUUGAAUUCAGUCCUUAGCUGUUUCGCUUUGCAUGGGUUGAUCUAUUUCGUAGCGAGUUAUGAAUUAAUUGUAACUUUGUUACUGCAAAGUUUAUCGAAUUUGAGGAAUGAUAAGGCUUUAAGGGUACAGGAAUUGGUCGAAGUUUACAUCGCGCUUGAUCGCAAUGUUACCGAAUUUCUUGACUUGUUUGCAAAAUAUUUGAAUAUUAAUAUCAUGUAUUUAUUCAUUUACUUGCUGUAUGUCGCAUACUCCUCGUACAGCUUGAUUAGGAUUAAAGAAUAUGUUUUGUUUGGCUUGUCCGUAACGCAAAUGGUGAUCGGGGUGGCAAGUUUAUAUUGGUUGACGAGCUGCGCGAGUGGGGUGGAACGGGGAAGUAGGCAGUUUUGCAAACGUGUGAAAUUUGAAAGUUUUGAAAUUUCGAAAAAGUCUCGGGCAGUGGGUGGAGCAGGACUGGUGAUGGAAAACGUAGAAAGAUUACCUGCCUUGGAUCCUAUUAAACUUGAUAACACUCUGUUAACGCUGGACCUGAGGUUACUAAUAUCAAUUCUGGCAGCUAUAGCGACAUACAUGGUCGUUAUUGUCCAAUUCCAAGCUAUGGAUAGUUCUUAAGUAAUUAAUUUAAGUGACAAUCUAAAGUCCUAAAUUCUAAACUAAAGAAAAACCGCAAACAUUUAUCUAUCGGAAAAAAUUGAUUAUUCACAUCUUUCCUAGACACACGAGUACGGAUAAAAUAAAACUAUGCAUUUAUAAAUGUAUAUUAGGGAGUUUGCAUGUAUACUUCCGUAAACAAUUUCCGUGACGUAGCAACGUGAUUCCGUAGCUUUUCACGGAAAUUUUUCAGGUCAUCACGUUGCGGAGGGCGACAGUUUGCAUAAAAACACUCAACGUGACCCGUAGUGAGACAUCCGUAAUUUUUCACGUAUUUACGGUGUUUUCUCUGUCACUACGUAUAAAAAUCAACGUGAAAAACCAUUUUUCACGGACGUUCUAUGGACUCGAGCAUUUCUACGAAACAAACCGGAAAUGGUUGGAAAAAAACCACCAGCGAAGGUAAAUUUAGUAAACACAUCAUUACUGCAUUUCACUUGUAUAUUUAAUCUUACGCAAUUUACUAAAAUGGGUCCUGAUUGCAGGUUUUGGAACCGAAAAAAGUGCCGGCGAAAUUUCGAUUCACUCUGGAAAGUGAUAGAAACUUACUUACUACCGCAAUAAAUGUAAAUCCCUUCCAGCUAGGCAGACAAAAGUGGAACGAUGUUUCUGCAAGUUUACUGCAAGUGUUUGGAUAUCAAGUUUCAGCUCGGACUGCUCGCGAAAGAGUUGAAAACCUUUCGAACAAAUACAAACAGGAACAGUUAAUUUACAAGUAAGAUCAUUUCCUGUUACUCUACAAUGAUAUGGCUAUUUUUCAUGCAGUAAUUCGAUAAAUUUAGAACUGGGACUGAGGAGGAGCAGUCCGAAAUAGGAAAAUGCAUGGAAGAAAUUGUUAAGCUCAUAGAGGAGGAGGCCGCUCCAGUAAAUAUUUUUCAUGGCGCUGAUUCUGGUGACCCUGUACCAACGAGCAAAAGCGAUAGAAAGGCCGAAAAAAUCUUGGCAGAUAUAGAUCGAGAUGAAGUGCUCAAGCGAAAUUAUGAAGACGUUCCGCCGCCCCCAAAUAAAAAUCGGGCAAAGAGGUCCAAAUUAAGGUACGAGGAGGACUUGCUGACGAAGAAAGUGAACCAUGACUUGGAAAUUGAACAGAAGCGAUUUCGUCUUGAAGAGGAGACCAAGCGGGCGGAAAUUGCAAACGAUACGAAGCGAUUAGAGUUGGAACUUAUACGUGAAAAGAGAUUGCAGCAGGAAACUGAACAACGCCAACUAAUGUUUGAAACUUUUCAGCAAACGUUGAAAGUACUCACGGACGCAUUACAAAACAACAAAAACUAAGCUAUUUUUCAUAUUUUAAU